rnacentral:tRNA from 1 species
GCCGGGGUGGCCGAGUGGACCAAGGCGCCGGCCUGGAGAGCCGGUACCCCCCUGGGGUGCCCGGGUUCGAAUCCCGGCCCCGGCGCCA